rnacentral:tRNA from 1 species
GGUUUGUGGCUCAGCGAUAGAGUGCUUGCCUAGCAUGUGUGAGACCCUGGGUUCGAUCCUCAGCACCA